rnacentral:lncRNA from 1 species
UCUUUUCGCGUGUUCUCUUUCAUUCGUUGAAGCAGAAAAAGACAUUCGCCUGAUGUACAGCGCAUACUCUAGUGUCCCCUUUGGUAUGUGAUGCGCCAUUAUUAUUGGAGUAACAUUCGUUAGUGGACCCCACUUGGUAUCCGCCCAGUUGCAGGAUUGACUGGUGGAUAGCACGACCACGUAGGUCAUCACCCCUCUUUACUAGUUCUUACUCGUAGUAGUAUCUUACUGCUAAAGUCUUUUGAUACGGAGUACGUAAAGCCUAAAGUUUUGGUCUCCGAAGGCUUUUGAAGGCUUGUAAGUCGUGGUUCGACAUCAUGGUUUGUUCAUUUCUUUCAGCAGUGUAUGUCUUUCACUAUCGCUUGUGCUGGACGAAUGGUCAUUCAUUCUUUACUACAAAUAAAUACCAUUGCCAGCUGGCCCCCGCGCUUGUCUAUUGACUAUUGUGGAAUCGCUUUACUCAUCACACCACAAUUUUCCGAAUCCUCAUUCCUUCCGUUCAUCAAACUGAUAAGAGAUUAAANNNNNNNNNNNNNNNNNNNNAAGGCGCCUACAAAUCGACAACGCUAGUAGUUGAUUGAUCUGAUUCGUUGAACUACCAUGACAUACAUACUAGAUUAAUAACUAGCACCGAGAUACUAACUACUACGUACUUGUAAUUGACUGACCGCUCUAGAUCCGUCAGUCAGUCUACCCCUCCUCAUUCUUCCACUUCUUCAAUGUUUCAGCUGUAGAAGAACCAACGCCCUCCAAUCAGAUCCUCAAAACCGAAAAGGCUAUCAGAACAAUGGAUGGUUCAUACACCAUAUCGUCAAUCGCCGAAAUCACUGGCAGCCUAUCAUUUCAAUCCCCUUGCAUUCGCGAGCGGCAAAUAUCAUUCACCGUCCAUUCAUAAUUCAUGAAGCGCAAAGUUUCAUAAUUACAUAACUGACUACUUCAUACAUAAGUUAACUAACUUUAACUAACUUGCACUCUGUAACCACUAACCUCUGGAAGUGCUGAGCUGAGGCAUGUCCGCUCGGGCCCCUCCCCUCGUUUUCCAUUCGCCUCGGCGCAUAUAGAUUAUGUACAACAACGUCAAGAAAAGACCCUGAGAUGCAACAACCCGUCUUCGCAUAAUCAGCUAAACCGAGAGAAUCUUAAAUUAUGACUAGUCAGCCUAUAGUUAUGUGACUAUCGACCUGAUAUCCAUUGACUAUCUGGUAACUCGACCCUAUUUACCUAUUUAGCAAUCAUGCCCGAAGUUGAUACAUGUCCUUAACCUGGAAACUAUCAAAAAAUAUCAUCCUUGGCCAAAAGCUCCAGAAAAAUAGGCGAAAUUAAGUGACUAGAACUACCCUAGCUACCUAGGAACUCUACCUUGAAAGAAAUUUCUCCUGGCAACAUCCAUGUAUAUCAAUAUCUGUGUAACCUGGAUAGAUCAUA